GGGGAAUUUUCCGCAAUGGGCGAAAGCCUGACGGAGCAAUACCGCGUGAGGGAGGAAGGCUCUUGGGUUGUAAACCUCUUUUCUCAGGGAAUAAGAACUGAAGGUACCUGAGGAAUCAGCAUCGGCUAACUCCGUGCCAGCAGCCGCGGUAAUACGGAGGAUGCAAGCGUUAUCCGGAAUGAUUGGGCGUAAAGCGUCCGCAGGUGGUUUAUCAAGUCUGCUGUCAAAGAGUUUGGCUCAACCAAAUAAAGGCAGUGGAAACUGACAGACUGGAGUGCGGUAAGGGCAGAGGGAAUUCCUGGUGUAGCGGUGAAAUGCGUAGAGAUCAGGAAGAACACCGGUGGCGAAAGCGCUCUGCUGGGCCGUAACCGACACUGAGGGACGAAAGCUAGGGGAGCGAAUGGGAUUAGAUACCCCAGUAGUC
rnacentral:rRNA from 1 species